UACGUAGGGUGCAAGCGUUGUCCGGAAUUAUUGGGCGUAAAGGGCUCGUAGGCGGUCCGUCACGUCGGGAGUGAAAACUUGGGGCUUAACCCCAAGCCUGCUUCCGAUACGGGCGGACUAGAGGUAGGCAGGGGAGAACGGAAUUCCUGGUGUAGCGGUGAAAUGCGCAGAUAUCAGGAAGAACACCCGUGGCGAAGGCGGCUCUCUGGGACGGUACUGACGCUGAGACGCGAAAGCGUGGGGAGCGAACAGG
rnacentral:rRNA from 1 species